UACAGAGGUGGCAAGCGUUGUUCGGAAUUACUGGGCGUAAAGGGCGCGUAGGCGGUCUUCUAAGUCUUGUGUGAAAUCCCUCGGCUCAACUGAGGAACUGCACGGGAUACUGGAAGACUUGAGUUCGGGAGAGGGAAGCGGAAUUCCGGGUGUAGCGGUGAAAUGCGUAGAUAUCCGGAGGAACACCGGUGCGAAGGCGGCUUCCUGGACCGAUCACUGAGCUAGGCGCGAAAGCUA
rnacentral:rRNA from 1 species